GGACCCGCACAAGUAGUGGAGCAUGUGGUUUAAUUCGAAGAUACGCGCAGAACCUUACCAACACUUGACAUGUUCGUCGCGACUUUAAGAGAUUAAAGUUUUCGGUUCGGCCGGACGAAACACAGGUGCUGCAUGGCUGUCGUCAGCUCGUGUCGUGAGAUGUUGGGUUAAGUCCCGCAACGAGCGCAACCCUCACUUUUAGUUGCCAUCAUUUAGUUGGGCACUCUGAAAGAACUGCCAGUGAUAAGCUGGAGGAAGGUGGGGAUGACGUCAAGUCCUCAUGGCCCUUACGUGUUGGGCUACACACGUGCUACAAUGGUAUCUACAACAGGAAGCGAAACGGCGACGUUAAGCAAAUCCUAAAAAGAUACCUCAGUUCGGAUUGCACUCUGCAACUCGAGUGCAUGAAGCUGGAAUU
rnacentral:rRNA from 1 species